rfam:TPA: Bos taurus chromosome 2, whole genome shotgun sequence.
UCCCUGGUGGCUCAGAUGGUAAAGCAUCUGCCUGCAACGUGGAAGACCUAGGUUCGAUCCCUGGGUUGGGAA